UGGUGAUUUAAUCCUAUGGCUGAGACUAAGGGAGUCGGCAGCCAAGGAAAUAUUUUAUGCUUGCAUAUGUGUUAUGAAGAUGCCUGCCGCACCCUAAAAACUUCACCUGAAAACUAGAUAUGACAAAUAAUUUCUGGGAAAUCUGAAAAUUACCUAGAUAUCUUUAAUCCCUAAAGUUUAAAGAAAAUAUAAAUAUGAAAGUAAUUAAACAUAAAUAAACAAGAAUUUUAUGCAUUCCAAAUUCCUAUCCUGAAUUUUAAGCAUAUUGUUAGAAGAUUCUGUAUUUAAUUUUGCUCUUUGUGCAAGCCUCUUAUUUUCCACAUCAACAAUAGGUCAGAUAUUCAUAUAUAAUUCCUCAACAUUGGCUUGCCAUGUGUACAUUUCUAUAAUUACUAGUGAGCAGUGGGUGCUAAAUCACAUAAACUCUUGAGGCUUGGUUAAAUAAGUUCCUCUCAUUUUCAAAUAUUUGCACAAUUUGUCAUUGAAUUUCAUUGUCAGUACCUGGUUAAAAUUGGCCAAAAUGAUAGUGAAAUUUACUUUUGUUACACCAAACCUUAUAAGAAUUCAUGCCAUUUCCCUUCUGAAAGUGAAAUUUUUAAUUUUUAAUUUUUAAAAUAGUACUUUCUCUUGGUGGUUGCCUCCUCAAUAACCCUACUGAAGUUUAUCCCUAUUUAUCUCCAUAUUAGUGCCUUGAAAUGAACUAAUGCUUCUCAUUUUUAUGUUAAGUCAAUUUCAAACCUCUUAACUAAUGGCAGGUGAGAAAGGUAAUCUAGAUAUCUGUCCUAUCCUUAGCCAAUUCAUAAAGUUUUCUUUUGUGAGAUGUGAAAUACUCUGUCCAAUUGGAAGUUGAUUUCUAGUAAUUAAGUUCUGUGAAGAUUUUUAUGUUUUUAGAAUAGUCAAUUCAAUUACUUUCCUUUUUUACAAUUUAAUAAAGAUAUUUAAAAAAAAAAAAGCUGCAAGACAUAAGACAUAGGAAGAGUUAGCUAUCCAAAAUGCAAUGUGUAAUAGUUUGUUAAUUGGAUGUACAUUUAUCAAGUCAUAACCUAUAAUUAAAAUUUAAUAAAGUAAUUGGUAGAUGCACAAAAUUGUCAAAUUUAACUGAAAUCCAUUCGGAUAGUCAAAUUACAA
rnacentral:misc_RNA from 1 species